rnacentral:lncRNA from 1 species
UACCACUAAGCGACAACCCCAGCCCUCUACACUGUUCUUUAAAUUACAAAGACAAACUGUGCAACUUGGCGAGGGUUUGUUAAAUUAAAUUAACCAGUGUCAUUUAUGUCAUUUCAUAGCAGAUUAUUCUGGGGAGGGCAAGCUCACCUCUGUUGCCAAAGUCCAACAUCUUUAUCCCUUUUUCUUCACCCUCAUACUGUGUGAUCAACUAGUAAGAAACCCCGUAUUUAUUUCCCCUGUUGAAUGGGUUCUACCUUGGCACUGUGCAGCUGAGUCAUGUGCUCUGUGAAAAACAAGCUUCUUCAUGAAAGCAGGUUCUGAGAGGCAUUGUUUUAAUGUGCAUGUUUAUAAAGCUCUAGUGACAAACUGCACACCACAUGUCCAGAGUUUAAUUAGGGUCAGAAGAAAGGAAAAUCCCCUAAGAAUACAGAAAGAAAUAUAGGUUAAGCAUCCCUAAUCCCAAAGUGUGAAAUCUGAAAUGCUCCCAAAUCUGAAAUUUUUGGAGCAUUAGCAUGAUACCACAGGUAGAAAAUUCUGUGCCUGACCUCAUGUUAUGGGUUGUGAUCAAGUUUAUUCAGUGUCCCCAAGGGGGAAGAGAUCCUCUCAGCCCCUCUUGCUGCAAUACACAAACUUGUGUGUAUGUGUAUGUGAUGCUGGGGAUUGAACCCAGGAGACUCACGCAUGCUAGGCAAGCACUGCACCACUAAGCCACAUCCCCAGCAUAAAGUUUUGUUUCCUGUACAUAAUUAUUAAAAAUAGUGUAAUGUCAUGUGCAAUGGCAUGCACUUGUAGUACCAGCUACUCAGGAGGCUGAGAACAGGAGCCACUUGAGCCCAGGAGUUUGAGAUCCACCUGGACAAUAUAGUGAGACCCUGUUUAAAAAAUAAAGAAAGAAGGGCUGUAGCUCAGUAGCAAUAAACUCUAAGCACAAGACCCCAGGUUCAAUCCUUAGCACUGCCAAAAAGAAAGAAGAAAAAGAAAAAUGGUGUAUAAAAGUACCUUCUUGUUAUGUGCAUAAGGUAUAUAUGAGAAUAAAUGAACUUCAUGUUUGGAUUUGGUUUCCAUCCCCAAGAUACCUCCUUCUGUAUAUGUACAUAUACAAAAUUCAAACAAAUAAAAUCCAGAACACUUUGGCCCCAAACAUUUCAGAUAAUCUGUAAUGCUGCUUACAAAUUCUGACUCCUUGCUGGCACUUCUACUCUAAGAUACGGGCUAUUCCCACUAAUUCAUGAACCGAAAAGAAUGUGUGGAGCUGGGUGCAGUGACACACCCAUGUAGUCCCAGCUACAUGGGAGGCUGAGACAAGAGGAUAGCAAGUUUGAGACCAGCCUGGGCAACUCAGUGAGACCCUGUCUCAAAAUAAAAUAAAAAACAGUUUGGUGAUACAGCUCAGUGGUAGAAUACUCCUUGGUGCCAUCCCAGUACCAAAAAAUAAAAGAAUCGGAACAGGGACUGAUUCGGGAACUAUGGAGAGAACAGUGAUGCAUAGCUUCCAUUCCUGCCCCUGUGCUUCAAGUCCAAGUGGAGAACCAAAACUAGCAUACAAAACAAGCCCAUCAGACAUUUUGUGAGCUUCAGAAUGCAGCAGUGGGUU